rnacentral:rRNA from 1 species
UGAGGAAUAUUGGUCAAUGGCCGAGAGGCUGAACCAGCCAAGUCGCGUGAGGGAUGACGGCCCUACGGGUUGUAAACCUCUUUUGCCGGGGAGCAAAGAGCGGGACGCGUCCCGCCUCGAGGGUACCCGGAGAAAAAGCAUCGGCUAACUCCGUGCCAGCAGCCGCGGUAAUACGGAGGAUGCGAGCGUUAUCCGGAUUUAUUGGGUUUAAAGGGUGCGCAGGCGGAAUGUCAAGUCAGCGGUAAAAUUUCGGGGCUCAACCCCGUCGUGCCGUUGAAACUGGCGUUCUUGAGUGAGCGAGAA